rnacentral:snoRNA from 1 species
AAGGCAGUGAUGAUUCCUUUUCUCACAUGCAUUCUUUGGAAGGCAGAGCAAAAUGAGUGAACUCAGUAUUGUUGUUCUCAAAAGCCUA